rnacentral:hammerhead_ribozyme from 1 species
GCACUGCCGAAGAGUUCCAUACCAGGACGAAACAGCCGUCCAGUGC